rnacentral:rRNA from 1 species
GAAUUCGCCCUUAGAGUUUGAUCCUGGCUCAGGAUGAACGCUGGCGGCGUGCUUAACACAUGCAAGUCGAGCGAGAAAAGUUCUUCGGAGCUUUUCUAGCGGCGGACGGGUGAGUAACACGUGGGCAACCUGCCUCAUAGAGGGGAAUAGCCUUCCGAAAGGAAGAUUAAUACCGCAUAACAUUGUUGAAAGGCAUCUUUUAACAAUCAAAGGAGCAAUCCGCUAUGAGAUGGGCCCGCGGCGCAUUAGCUAGUUGGUGAGGUAACGGCUCACCAAGGCGACGAUGCGUAGCCGACCUGAGAGGGUGAUCGGCCACAUUGGAACUGAGACACGGUCCAGACUCCUACGGGAGGCAGCAGUGGGGAAUAUUGCACAAUGGGGGAAACCCUGAUGCAGCAACGCCGCGUGAGUGAUGAAGGUCUUCGGAUUGUAAAGCUCUGUCUUUAGGGACGAUAAUGACGGUACCUAAGGAGGAAGCCACGGCUAACUACGUGCCAGCAGCCGCGGUAAUACGUAGGUGGCAAGCGUUAUCCGGAUUUACUGGGCGUAAAGGGAGCGUAGGCGGAUAUUUAAGUGGGAUGUGAAAUACCCGAGCUUAACUUGGGAGCUGCAUUCCAAACUGGAUAUCUAGAGUGCAGGAGAGGAGAAUGGAAUUCCUAGUGUAGCGGUGAAAUGCGUAGAGAUUAGGAAGAACACCAGUGGCGAAGGCGAUUCUCUGGACUGUAACUGACGCUGAGGCUCGAAAGCGUGGGGAGCAAACAGGAUUAGAUACCCUGGUAGUCCACGCCGUAAACGGGGAAUACUAGGUGUAGGGGCCCCCAGCCUCUGGGCCGC